CUGAAAGAGGAUGGCAAUCUCGCUGAAGCUGUUUCUUUUUCUUCACAACAUAUAGGAAAAUGUUGCCCCUUUUUGGAGGUUUUCAUCACUAUGCAGUUGUCUUGACAAAUAAGUUUCACUUCAUCUGUCAUUUCUGACUUCACUGGGAUAAUCAGGCCUCAUCCAGUCUUGGCAUGAAUGAGUGUGGUGAUUGAUUUGUAAUGCCUGCCUGGGAAAAGAAGUCAGGAGUGCGAAUAAGAACGGUAGGAAUUUUUCAUUCUACGAUGGGAUAAUGCAUUAACUUCUAGUAGCUUUUUGAAUUAAAUUGUUUCAGAAAUUUCCCAAGAAGAUGUAGAAAAGGCCAGCUUGACUGAUACAUCUAUAGAGAGCUAAUAUAAAAUUAU
ensembl:lncRNA